AUAAUCCCCAUAAUCUGGAUACUCCAGUCCCGGUUCCAGUUCCCUUAUCCAACCAUGUCCAUUGCCGAUAAACGCGCUUCCUUCGCGCGCCGCGCAGAAAGUCUGGUGGAGCGGGUGAGAGUUAUGAAUACCAUUUACGAGAAUAACAACAGUCCCCAGCGCCCUGCAGCGCCGAUAUAUAUAUAUAUCUGAUUAGACGUAAAUGGCAGUGGGUGGCAUGGUUCAGACAGCCAGUUCGCAGUUCUCGGGUGCUUCUGUUUGGCUUGGCCCGACUGUUUUAAUUAAUCUGAAACACUCGUACAUUAUACACAUCGUCUUAAUGAGUGUGUCCGAAUUGUGCUCGGAUCAAGGUCGCCAGAGUGUGCCCCCUAUCACAAGACUGAUUGCCUCUUAUGGGCCUGGGCAUGGGUCUUUCGUGGAUUUGUGCAUAAAAAUGGCAACGAUUUUGAUCUUUCCGUUUGCUCAUCACAAAUUUCGCACACGCAGGGCAUUAAAAAGUCAAUGUCCGGCAUGUUUUCCGUUGUCGAGCUAAAAAUAAAUGUCCCAUUGCAAAUAGCCUUCCGAAACGGCUUGGUCAUUGUGGCAGUGUUUAUGGGCAAGUGUAUAUGCAUCCGCAUCUGUGUGGGACUGCAAUACAAUGGAACUUUAGCAAAAUAACCUCAGGCAAGUUUUGCAGCGACUGGGAGAAGUGAGUUGAAAGUGAGGAAAGAGUUACAUGGGAGUAUGGAAAGAAAUUCAUUAGACAUCAUGCAACGCUGCAGCUUUAAUUAAGAGGUUUAACCAAGGCAGACACACUCAAAACAGAACAGGGGUUCAUUGGACAGACAAUCUCUGUGCGGAGAGCAGAGAACAAUUUCCGGUGUGCUUUAGCAAGAAGUUAAAAAGAAAUAUUGAAAGCGGGUUUACAGAACUGAACAGAUUACUUCAUGUGUUUAAUCAAAUAUGUAAAAAAUAUUGUUCACAAAUCCAGACCAAUUCUGUCUUUUGCCUAGAAAGAGUUGUCUCAAGGCAAAUUUAUAUUGACUCACUUUUAUUGCCAUGCUGUCUUUAUUGAAUACCAUUUUCUUAAUCUAAGUCUGUUGUUUUAUUUAAAUCAAAGUGCGUUACAAUUUCAUUUGUAUUUUAUUAUAUUCAUAUUUAAAACAUAAUA